UUAACAUCCACCAGGAGAGCUUGGCUGCUUAAGCUGCUCUCCCCUCCUGUCCCUUCGGAGUGACUUCUCUUGAUGCCCCAGGGCCUCAAAGUGGUCAGAACUCACUUGGAGGUUCCUAAACUCCUCUAGGUGAGAGACCCCUCUUUCUGAAGAGCUAGCCAGCAACUGUAAAAUAAUGAUACCCCAACUGGCAUUUACCGAGAACUUACUGUGAGACUAGCAAGACUCUCACUUUCUCCUUUAACUCUCACAGCUACCUCUGAGAAGGAGAUUGUAACCUUCCCGCAGUCACACAGCAAGUUCCCAUCACUACCUCCUGUUUUCAUCUUGGCUGGAACUUGUGCUUCAGUCAGAGGAGCAGACGGGGAGCAGUAAUGUCUGUGUCUCAGGCCCAGGCUCUGAGAGCUUGGGGAGCAUCCUGAGAAAGGAGAGGAUGCCCUUCCCUGGCUUGGGGGCCAGGGUGACUGGGCAGGGAGCUGCAAGGGACAGACACUGGGUCAGUCCCCUUGUUAAGGGGGCUUCAGCUGUUUAGGGAGGCAGACACGACAUGAGUCACAGCACAUCGAGGGCCAGUGGGCAGGCUGUCUAGAGACUCUGAGAGGCUGGAGGGACUGGGGGGCUUUCAAAGACGGGGUGAAACCGCACAACUCAGAUUGGGAUUUGAACCCAUGGGCCGGGACUCGAACCGGGCCAAAACCCAGAUGGGGACUUGAAUCCACUGUCUUUUAAUUAAAAUCACAUAUCUUUUCUCGGGACCUACUGAAGUUCAGGGUCUUUAUGUCUCAGCAAUUCAGUGAGAGACAAAGCAAGAGGUAAAAAGUGGAUUUACUUAGAGGAAUACACAUUCCAUAGAUGGAGUGUGGUGUGUCUCAAAAGGCAAGAGUGGCCCUGGGAGAAACACCCUCCACAGACAGAGUGUGGACCAUCUCAGAAGGUGAGAGGCCCCGAAAUACGGGGUGGUUAGUUUUUAUGGGCUGGGUAAUUUCAUAGGCUAAUGAGUGGGAGGAUUAUUCCAACUAUCUUGGAGAAGGGGUGGAGAUUUCCAGGAACUGGGCCACCGCCCACGUUUUGGCCUUUUAUGGUUAGUCUCAGAACUGUCAUGGCCCUGCUGUCAUUUAGCAUAUGCUAAUGUAUUACAAUGAGCAUAAAAUGAAGCUCAAGGUCUACUGGAAGUUGAAUCUUCUGCCAUCUUGGACCUAGUUGGUUCUAACCAGUUUAUGUCACAUCCAAAGGCUAUGUCAUUCUUUUAAAGGUUGUGCCCUAUCCCCUUCCCACCUAUUUCAGGGGGACACUGUGGGACAUUCAGUCUGUGUAAUGCUCAUAAUAGAGCAAAUCAUACUUGUUGAAUUUGUUUCCGCUUAUUUAAUCCUUUUCUAAGAGGACUGAAGGGAUUUUCAAGGGAAGGGAUCCAUGGUAUCGGGGAGGAUGGUGUGAAAUGAGCCUGGAGACGUGGACAGAAUGAAGAGGACUUGGCACAGAGCUGCACUUGGCACUGACAUGUCACGUAAGUGAGAAAUAAACCACUGUGGUGGUCAGCCACUAAGAUUUUGGGGUUGUUUGUUGUGCAGCACAACCUGCUGAAACCUGACCAAUACACAUGAAGAAUGUUUAUAUAAUAACUGCCAGUUACAGUAAAUAGAAAUUUCCUGUUUUGUAAAAUACUAUGAGGAGGUGAGAAUUAUGGUUAAAGAAAGAGCCAAUAAGGUCUAAAGCAAAGAAAAAGAGUCAUAAAAAUACUUGCUGGACAUUAGAAACACUGAUGCUUUCAAAUUUAUUACAGGAACAGGAGAAGAAAGAAAAAAGAACAAAAUGGGAAGGAGAAAGAGAAAGGUGAACAACAGCAGCAGCAGAGACAAAUUGACAGAGCAAGUAACAGAAGAACGUGUCAUCUGAAAUGAGUGUGGCAGAGUUGAGCAAAUUGGCAAGAGUACCUUCCAGACGUACAGAGAUAUCUGUAACACAUUUAAGGAAGACAUGGAGAGUCCCUGCCUAUCUCCCGGAUGUUAAGUAGGUACAGGUUUCCUAAAAGUAAGUAAGAGGGUCUGGAAGGGUCUGUCCAACAUCUUUACUUGGAAAGAUGAGAACUCAGAGCAAAAGAGGACUCAAGAGUGUUGGGGAAGAUCACACCUUGCGACUGUCUUCAAGCCCCGGGGUGAUGGGAACCAGGGCUGUAAGAUGACCCUGUAACUUCACCACCCUUGUAAUUCUCUGAGCUGGGCUCCUAUAUCAAGCCAACAAGCUAAGGGCAAGGUGAGGAGAGAGAGGUGAGAAUCACACUCUGAUAUCACCCUUGUACAAUGCCAGCUGAACAGAGAUGAAUCAGCCCAACCACACUGGCUAAAGGGCUUUACCAAGAGCCACAGGUCACAAAGGGAUACAGAGCAUCUGAAUCAAAUAAUGAAUCAGGUUGAUAUUAGUGAUAAUAUGGCAUCGUGCAAACAAAUGAAUAUGUAAGCAGUGAAUAUGUCUUCCAUUGAAACACCCAUGAGAAGAGUUACAAAACUUGACCAUGGCUAUAAAGAAAAUAUCAGUAAUUUCCCCCCAAAUAGAAAUAGUAGAGACUUCUUUGACCACCAAGUAAUAAAACCAGAAAUUAAAACAAAAAGUAGAAAUGAGACAAAAACCCAACCACAUGGAAAAAUUAAACCCCCUCCUCGGGACUUCCCUGGUGGUGCAGUGGUUAAGACUCUGCACUCCCAAUGCAGGGGGUCUGGGUUCAAUCCCUGAUCAGGGAAGUAGAUCCCACAUGCAUGCAGCAGCUAAGGGUUUGCAUGCCACAAUGAAGGAGCCAGGGAGCUGCAACUAAGGGGCCCGCAUGCCACAACUAAGACCCAGUGCAGCCAAAUAAAUAAAUAAAAUAUUUUUAACAACCCUCCUCAAAAUUUAUUUACUUGUUUUA